rnacentral:lncRNA from 12 species
CCCCAAAGCAGGAAAGGCACAGCGGCCCCAGAACUCUCUGAGUUGCAGUGGAGAAGUCCAGGGAUGGCAAUCUUCAGAUUAAGAAAGAGAACCAUGAAUAACAGCACCAGUGGCACAGUGCCUCAAGCCCUGACUCUGCAAGACAGCAGGAUACAGACAGCAGUGCUCUGUUCUGCAGUAGGAUAUACAACAGCAGUUCCCACGGCCAUCACACGGAGCUACGUGGAUACCUAUUGCCAGGAAGGGUGGGGUGAGAGCACUUGGAAUGCAACUACUGAAAGUUCAAGUCAACAGGUUUGGAAACUUGGCAAAGACGGCGUAGACAAAUAACUCAAGGUUUGCAGGGCACCUCUGUGACUGGUAUAAAUCAGAUGAGUACUACUGAGUUCAAG